AGAGUUUGAUCCUGGCUCAGGAUGAACGCUGGCGGCGUGCCUAAUACAUGCAAGUCGAGCGAACGGACGAGAAGCUUGCUUCUCUGAUGUUAGCGGCGGACGGGUGAGUAACACGUGGAUAACCUACCUAUAAGACUGGGAUAACUUCGGGAAACCGGAGCUAAUACCGGAUAAUAUUUUGAACCGCAUGGUUCAAAAGUGAAAGACGGUCUUGCUGUCACUUAUAGAUGGAUCCGCGCUGCAUUAGCUAGUUGGUAAGGUAACGGCUUACCAAGGCAACGAUGCAUAGCCGACCUGAGAGGGUGAUCGGCCACACUGGAACUGAGACACGGUCCAGACUCCUACGGGAGGCAGCAGUAGGGAAUCUUCCGCAAUGGGCGAAAGCCUGACGGAGCAACGCCGCGUGAGUGAUGAAGGUCUUCGGAUCGUAAAACUCUGUUAUUAGGGAAGAACAUAUGUGUAAGUAACUGUGCACAUCUUGACGGUACCUAAUCAGAAAGCCACGGCUAACUACGUGCCAGCAGCCGCGGUAAUACGUAGGUGGCAAGCGUUAUCCGGAAUUAUUGGGCGUAAAGCGCGCGUAGGCGGUUUUUUAAGUCUGAUGUGAAAGCCCACGGCUCAACCGUGGAGGGUCAUUGGAAACUGGAAAACUUGAGUGCAGAAGAGGAAAGUGGAAUUCCAUGUGUAGCGGUGAAAUGCGCAGAGAUAUGGAGGAACACCAGUGGCGAAGGCGACUUUCUGGUCUGUAACUGACGCUGAUGUGCGAAAGCGUGGGGAUCAAACAGGAUUAGAUACCCUGGUAGUCCACGCCGUAAACGAUGAGUGCUAAGUGUUAGGGGGUUUCCGCCCCUUAGUGCUGCAGCUAACGCAUUAAGCACUCCGCCUGGGGAGUACGACCGCAAGGUUGAAACUCAAAGGAAUUGACGGGGACCCGCACAAGCGGUGGAGCAUGUGGUUUAAUUCGAAGCAACGCGAAGAACCUUACCAAAUCUUGACAUCCUUUGACAACUCUAGAGAUAGAGCCUUCCCCUUCGGGGGACAAAGUGACAGGUGGUGCAUGGUUGUCGUCAGCUCGUGUCGUGAGAUGUUGGGUUAAGUCCCGCAACGAGCGCAACCCUUAAGCUUAGUUGCCAUCAUUAAGUUGGGCACUCUAAGUUGACUGCCGGUGACAAACCGGAGGAAGGUGGGGAUGACGUCAAAUCAUCAUGCCCCUUAUGAUUUGGGCUACACACGUGCUACAAUGGACAAUACAAAGGGCAGCGAAACCGCGAGGUCAAGCAAAUCCCAUAAAGUUGUUCUCAGUUCGAAUUGUAGUCUGCAACUCGACUACAUGAAGCUGGAAUCGCUAGUAAUCGUAGAUCAGCAUGCUACGGUGAAUACGUUCCCGGGUCUUGUACACACCGCCCGUCACACCACGAGAGUUUGUAACACCCGAAGCCGGUGGAGUAACCUUUUAGGAGCUAGCCGUCGAAGGUGGGACAAAUGAUUGGGGUGAAGUCGUAACAAGGUAGCCGUAUCGGAAGGUGCGGCUGGAUCACCU
rnacentral:rRNA from 1 species